rnacentral:rRNA from 1 species
CAGCCGCCACGGUAAUACGGAGGAUCCAAGCGUUAUCCGGAAUCAUUGGGUUUAAAGGGUCCGUAGGCGGUCUUGUAAGUCAGUGGUGAAAGCCCAUCGCUCAACGGUGGAACGGCCAUUGAUACUGCAGGACUUGAAUUAUUGGGAAGUAACUAGAAUAUGUAGUGUAGCGGUGAAAUGCUUAGAGAUUACAUGGAAUACCAAUUGCGAAGGCAGGUUACUACCAAUUGAUUGACGCUGAUGGACGAAAGCGUGGGUAGCGAACAGGAUUAGAUACCCCGGUAGUCCCUGUCUCUUAUAU